UCUAAGUAUAAGCAAUUAUACGGCGAAACUGCGAAUGGCUCAUUAAAUCAGUUAUCGUUUAUUUGAUAGUACCUUACUACUUGGAUAACCGUGGUAAUUCUAGAGCUAAUACAUGCUAAAAAUCCCGACUCACGGAGGGAUGUAUUUAUUAGAUUAAAAACCAAUGCCCUUCGGGGCUCUUUGGUGAUUCAUAAUAACUUCUCGAAUCGCAUGGCCUUGCGCCGGCGAUGGUUCAUUCAAAUUUCUGCCCUAUCAACUUUCGAUGGCAGGGUCUUGGCCUGCCAUGGUUACAACGGGUAACGGAGGGUUAGGGCUCGACCCCGGAGAAGGAGCCUGAGAAACGGCUACUACAUCCAAGGAAGGCAGCAGGCGCGCAAAUUACCCAAUCCCGACACGGGGAGGUAGUGACAAUAAAUACUGAUACAGGGCUCUUUUGGGUCUUGUAAUUGGAAUGAGUACAAUUUAAAUCCCUUAACGAGGAACAAUUGGAGGGCAAGUCUGGUGCCAGCAGCCGCGGUAAUUCCAGCUCCAAUAGCGUAUAUUAAAGUUGUUGCAGUUAAAAAGCUCGUAGUUGAACCUUGGGCCUGGCUGGCCGGUCCGCCUCACCGCGUGCACUGGUUCGGCCGGGCCUUUCCCUCUGGGGAGCCUCAUGCCCUUCACUGGGUGUGUUGGGGAACCAGGACUUUUACUGUGAAAAAAUUAGAGUGUUCAAAGCAGGCCUAUGCUCGAAUACAUCAGCAUGGAAUAAUAGAAUAGGACGUGCGGUUCUAUUUUGUUGGUUUCUAGGACCGCCGUAAUGAUUAAUAGGGACAGUCGGGGGCAUCAGUAUUCAAUUGUCAGAGGUGAAAUUCUUGGAUUUAUUGAAGACUAACUACUGCGAAAGCAUUUGCCAAGGAUGUUUUCAUUAAUCAGGAACGAAAGUUAG
rnacentral:rRNA from 1 species